UAGAAAUCUUGGCGACUUCCUCCUUGUGCCCUGCUGUCUCUGUGGAAGGAAGAGGCACAGGAGGGAACUGAGGGGAGGGCGCCGGGAUGUGAGGCUCGCCUCUGUAUCCAGUAAAACCAUUAUCCUUCUUCAUUUCCACUAGAGUACCUCCAUUUCUGCAUGGUAUUUUAUACUCAAUUAGUUCCUGGAGAUGUUGCCAGAGACUAAUGUGUUCUGUGUGCAUACUGAAUAACCGCGGGGAUUUUUUUAAUGUUGUUAUUUGUUUAGAUCACACACACACACACACACACACACACACACACACACACAUAUAUAUAUCAGACAGCAGUGAUAUAUUAAUUGUUCAUUUGGAGCAUAGAGUAACUAGCCUGAAACCAUUAUUCUUCAAUUUGUUUCAUCCAUUCUUGACCCAAAUGCUGUUUUGAAAUGGGAAGGAAGCCAAUGUGGUGUCAGUAUUUGGAAUCCAUGCACUUAUGAGAAUGGUGCACAUUUUGAAGAGCUGAUAUUUUAAAUCACAAUGAAGUUCAGUUAAGCAGAUUUUUAAUGAUUUGCAUUUUCGACACCUACUGAAGGGAUUUCCUACGGUCACACCAUGCCUGGGCUUCGAGGGUGGACUGCAGGGCUGAAGGCAGUGAAUGACCACUGGAAGUGGUGCCGAGCCAACUCGCCUGUUCUUUCUCUGGCCUUUUGUCUACCAGUUUCAAAGGCAUUCCUGUGGGAGAGGGCACUGGUUGGAGUAAAGAGCUUUGAAAAUGAGAAGUUGCAACUCCUCUCCAGGGCACUUGGAAGGCCUGGUGUUUUUCAACAAGGAAACAGGAACAAUGGGAAGAAAUUUAUUUUAGCUGCAAGCGGGGCUACUGAUAAGGGCCAACCUCCUAGCUGGUCUCUGUGCUUCUAGUUACUGAGCAAGCACGGGGAGGAGCAAGAAUGAAAUGACUGACAUCCCCGCAGCACCCCGUCCUCGCGUUCCAAUAAGCGAGACUCAAGUUCACUCACUUGUGAAGAGGACCUGCGACAGCCCUUAUUUCUUCUGUCACCUUGACUUCCAGUGUAUUGUGCUGACUGACCUCUCCUAAACUAGAAAGAAAUGACUGCUGAUUUGACCACUAUCCUCUGGGGCUAAAUGUCAGGGGUCAAGAUCCAUAGCUACAGAGAAUUCAGCUUUGCGUGAAAAGACUGGAACGUGGCUUCGUUGAUGGGGCUAAAUAUUUAGACAUCAGGGGGCAGUGGUUUUGUGUAAGCAAACUCAGUGGAAACCAUUAAAGCUAGUGAGACUCUGCCACAUUAAAGUGCUGAAGACGUCUGGUAGUGACAACUGCACACAGACUGGUAAAACCCAGAGCCUUCUCAAGGCCCCACGGCAGGACACUCAGAUAUUGAUCAAUUUGGGUUUGAGAUCUCUUUCCCAGGCUGCCUCUUGACUAUCCUUGGCCACACUGAUGGAAGAGUUCUGCUUUAUGUUUUCUAAGAUUUGAGAACGUUGUAAAAAGAGAAAGGAUUAAAGAGUCCAGAGACCAGCUCAAAAUAUUAAAAGGAAGUUUGGUUAUUUAUAGAAACAAUUAGGAUUUCCAAAAUAGUAAAAUAUAUACAAGAAAGAUAUCCUUUUUGGAUCUCAGUGAGUUCGAGGCCAACCUGGUCUACAAAGCUAUAUCCAGGACAGCUAGGAGAGUUAACACAGAGAAACCCUGUCUCAGCCGCCACCGUCACUCCUGCUUCCCCAAAAGAAGAUAUUCUUCUUGUAGACUCUGAAUUGAUGCAUGGAAAAUGAUUGUUACACAUCUGUGUCAACACAGAUUCUGAAUUCUAUUUGGGUCAAUACCCAGGAAUGGGACUCCUGGGCAAUAUGUUUGUGUAUAGCUAAUUUUGUCUAACUUUGAGAAACUACAGACCGCCAUUCAGUAUUCCUAGCAGCCACAUAUGACAGAUAUAGAUGGCCCACAUCUUUAACACUUGACAUUAUCAGGCUUUCAUUUCAGCCUGACUAAUAACUAGUUUAUGAUAGCUUACCAGCAUUAAUUCACUUUACUUGGUAACUAAUAACAUUGCUCAUCUUUGCAUGCAUAGAUCUGUUUUUCCUCAAUAAAGAAUCCAGCUGUUUAUAUUUACUAUCUUUUUCUUUUGUUUUUUUUUCUUUUUA